UGGGGAAUCUUGGACAAUGGGCGCAAGCCUGAUCCAGCCAUGCCGCGCGAGUGAAGAAGGCCCUAGGGUUGUAAAGCUCUUUCGGCGGGGACGAUAAUGACGGUACCCGCAGAAGAAGCCCCGGCUAACUCCGUGCCAGCAGCCGCGGUAAUACGGAGGGGGCUAGCGUUGUUCGGAAUUACUGGGCGUAAAGCGCACGUAGGCUGGUCGUUAAGUCGGGGGUGAAAUCCUGGGGCUCAACCUCAGAACUGCCUUCGAUACUGGCGUCCUUGAGUACGGGAGAGGUGAGUGGAAUUCCCAGUGUAGAGGUGAAAUUCGUAGAUAUUGGGAAGAACACCAGUGGCGAAGGCGGCUCACUGGCCCGUAACUGACGCUGAGGUGCGAAAGCGUGGGGAGCAAACA
rnacentral:rRNA from 1 species